GAGUGUAAAAUGGCACACCCACUUUGGAAAACAGCUUAGCAGUUUCUUGAAAAGUUAAACAUACACCUACCAUGUGAUGCAGUCAUUCUAAUUCUAGAUCUUUACUCCAAAGAAAAGGAAACACAUGAGCACACAAAGACUGGCACACAAAUGUUCUUAGCACUUUGGAAUAGCAAAAGACUGGAAGAGAUCUCAAUACCCAUCACCAGAGUGACAACUCCAUAGAGACUGGGGCGAUACCGAUUUGCACAAGCACAUCUCUAAUGUUUAACAUAGAAUCUGGUGCCUACUAAGGACUUGACACAUAGUUGUUGAAGAAAGAAGAGAGAGAGAAGGGUUGAGAGUAACUCCAAGUUUUAACCUGAGUGAAAGAGAGGAUGCGUUACUGCUGAUAGCUAUGGAGGAAUCAAGAAGAAAGGCGGAAAUGGAACAGUGAAGGAGAAGGUGAAGGACAGCCAAGUAGUGCUGGAGCGUAGCCAAAGUAAGUAGUAGUUUCAAGGAGAAAGAUUAGAAGAAGGCCAUUUGAUUUUUAGAUUUAGCAGUUAUAAGGCAUUGGUGCCCUGAAGAAAGUGAUUUCAGACAGAAGCCAGAUUGUUUUCCCCGCCCCAGUCCUCUACAUACACAAAAUGCAAACUUCUUCAUUCGGUGAAAGUAUCCAUGUGCUUCACUCCAUCUUCACAAGUUGCCACUCCCGUCCAAGCCCUUUGUUCUGUUCUGAUAGCCUGACUCCCUUCUUGGAUGUCAUUCUUGUUCCCUUACAAUCCAUUUGCCACUAAUCAGCUAGAAUGAGUGUUUUAAAACACUAAUAGUGUCAUGUGCCUAGUCCUUCCAUGGGAUCUCCUCACUGUUUAGCUCCCUCUUUACACUAAGGGUUAAUGCCCUCAUGUGCCCAAGCUGUGAAACCCUCAAAUUUUGUCACAUUGUCAGCUGCAAUCAGGAAAGGAUUGAGUAAGAGUAUUAGUUAUAUAUUUCUGCCUAACAAAUUACCCAAAACUCUGAGGCUUGAAACAAACAAACAAACAAAAACUUUAUUAUCUUACAGUUUCUAAGAAUCAGGAAUCUGGGACAGGCUUAGCUGGGUUCUUCUGGCUUAGGGUCUCUCAAGAGGUUGCAGUAAAUCUACUGCCUGGGGCUCCAGUCACCAGAAAUCUUGACUGCUUUUAAGAAGCCUCACUUAGAUGGCUAUUGGCAGGAUGCCUCAAUUCCUUGCUAGUUGUUGGCAAAAGGCCUUAGUUCCUCACCACCUGGGCCUUUCCACAGAGCUGCUUGAGUGUCCUCCUGACAUGACAGCUGGUCAUGAGUGAUCUGAGAGAGAGCAGAGAGGAUGCUACAGUGCUUUUUAUGAUAAAGUCUCCCUGGUUUUCAUCAUUUCCACUUUACUGUAUUUAUUAGGAGCAAGUCAUUAAGUCCAGCCCACACUGAAGGGGAGGAGAAUUAGACUCCACCUCUUGAAGGGAGAAGUCUCAAAGAAUGUGUUGACCUAUUUGAAAACCAUCACCAUAAGGCAAGGAAAAAAGGUAUAUCAAUGCCUUAAGGAUGAAGAAAAGGUUUGGAUCAUCAGUUGUGAACAGCCAUACAGGAGUCAAUGUAGUAAAUAAGCAACUGUUAUACAAGUGUGAUACCUUUUCUACCUAUGCUACAGGACAGAAGCAGGACCAGGGAGAGUAGAUGAAGAGGCCGGCCAAGUGUUUGGGACUUGGAAAUGGUGUCAAUGGAUAUGCAAAUGAGAUCUGGGAAGUGAAAAGGCUCCUCUUGAAUCUUAAAUGGGGUAUUAAAUACACACACUUCUAAGUGAUGGUAUGGAUUUUAAUGUGUUUCAUUCCUGUGACCUGCAUGUUCUCAUAACCACUGGGCCAAACAAGGUCAGUGCAUUUGAGACCAGAAUGAGGUAUUGAGGUUGUAAAAGUAGACAAGGAAAGGUGUGAGAUACAGAAAAAAUGACUUCAGGAAAGCCAUGUUUAUCUCUGUUUGUUAGGAAAACAGUGACUCUCCUAAGGUUGAAUUUAGACCAAGGGCCCCAGGUCAUUCCCAGUUUGCUCUCUCCUUUGUUUUCUUCUC